rnacentral:rRNA from 2 species
CACCGAAGCUGCGGCAGCGACGCUGAUGCGUUGUUGGGUAGGGGAGCGUUCUGUAAGCCUGCGAAGGUGACCUGUGAGGGUUGCUGGAGGUAUCAGAAGUGCGAAUGCUGACAUAAGUAACGAUAAAGCGGGUGAAAAGCCCGCUCGCCGGAAGACCAAGGGUUCCUGUCCAACGUUAAUCGGGGCAGGGUGAGUCGACCCCUAAGGCGAGGCCGAAAGGCGUAGUUGAUGGGAAACGGGUUAAUAUUCCCGUACUUGGUGUUACUGCGAAGGGGGGACGGAGAAGGCUAUGUUGGCCGGGCGACGGUUGUCCCGGUUUAAGCGUGUAGGUGUGUGUUCCAGGUAAAUCCGGUUCACUUUAACACUGAGGCGUGAUGACGAGGCACUACGGUGCUGAAGCAACAAAUGCCCUGCUUCCAGGAAAAGCCUCUAAGCAUCAGGUAACAUCAAAUCGUACCCCAAACCGAC